rnacentral:lncRNA from 1 species
CAGCAACUUAGGGAGGACCUAAGCAACUCAGCAAGAUCCUGUCUCUAAAUAAAAUACAAAAAAAAAAAAAAAAAAGGAUGGGGAUGUGGCUCUGUAGUUAAGCACCCCUGGUUCAAUCCCUGGUACCAAGAAAAAGAAAAGAUUACUCUGAGAGUGAUGUGGUUUGAAAGGAAGGAUUGGAAACAAGAAAUGCAAUUCAACAGAGCAGAAAUGAAACAUGCCUGGAAGAAAAGUUGACAGGCAAGAUGGCUAAGGACACUCCUAGGAGAUGGUGAGCUUAUGAGCCUUGGGCUGCUCGCCUGGAGAGCAGAAACGAGACGUGCAGGUAUCAAGCUCACUCCUGGCAAGGCCACCUCCUGACCAGGUGAAUCAGUGAGGUUACAAGGAGCCACUUUCAAACUUCGAUCAUGUAUUAAAGCAAAGAGAAUAAUUUAGGUAAUUUACAGAUUGCAAAAAGAAUAAGCCAAAGAUGCUAGGUCCCUGUGACUUUUGUCUCACCCACCAAGAAGUCCACUACCACAACUAAGAGGCCCAGUGCAUGCAGUGUCUCAGGACAGCUCCCUGCUCGACAGAAGGUGGCCCCAUAGCAGCUCCCUCCAUGUCCAUGAAGAUCACAAGGCGUUCUGCCAAGACUCAGAUAAACCACUGUUCAAGACAUUGCCUAAGCAGAUAUGAGCAAGGUCACUGUGACACCAUCACAGAGUCAUGCCCCCACACAGGAUGGCACCUUUUUGAGACCAGAUCUCGCUAAGCCACUAAGGCUGGUCUCCAACUUGCUAUCUUCCUGCCUCCCCCUCCUGAGUACCUGACUUGAUUUUCUUUCUAGCCCUUUCUCCCAAUUAACAUUGAUCUAUGUGCCGUCUGUUCCCUCUAAUAGAAUGCACAGCCCACCAAGGCUGGGAUCAGGGUUUGUGUUUCCACUGCUGCAUCCCCAGCAGGAGAACGAUGCCUGGUGUCUACUCAGUCCUCAAGAUGAAUUUCCUGCAUGAAUAAGUCAAUGGCAGCCCUUGGAACAACUGUAGCCUUGUACAGGGGACCUGCAGAGGCAUGUGGGGGUAGGGGAGAAAUGUCCUAAAGAGGGAAGCCCCGAAUGAUCAGUGACUCAGGAGGGCCGUUCUUGGACGACACCAUGUUCAGCAAGUCGGUCUCUGCUGAUCAGUUCUGCUUUGUUAAGGAAUGUGGGGGUGUAACUAGCAGCCUGGGAAGCAAGUGUCCAGUGGGAAGGAACAGAUCAAAGAUGCAAAAGUGAGGUGAUAGCUGUGGAUUAGAACCCAGCGCUGACUUAGAUCUUUUAGUCCCCAGCUUGCAUCAAGGCCGGGAGUUAUCACUUCCCAUAUCCUCCCCUUUUCCCAGCAUACAGGCUGCUGGUUCCUAAAAGUGGGCAGCAGUGCCUGCUAUAGCUACUUACUCUUUGGCUACCUUCCAGAUGGGUGACAGAUAAGAGGGCACUGCAUGUCACUGUUAGAAUGUUUUUUUGGUACCGGGAAUUAAACUCAGGGACACUCAACCACUGAGCUGCACCCCCAGUCCUAUUUUGUAUUUUAUUUAGAGACAGGGUCUCACUGAGUUGCUUAGUGAUUUGCUUUUGCAGAGGUUGGCUUUGAACUCACAAUCCUCCUAUCUCAGCCUCCUGAGCUGCUGGGAUUACGGGCGUGCACCACCGUGCCUAGUGUUAGAAUGUUUUAAGGAAAUCUGGCUUGAUACACUACAAUGAAUCCUGUUUGUAUGUAUAAUUACAAUGCACUAAUUGAAAUAAUAAUAAUAAUAAUAAUAGAAGGGAGAUCAGCAGAGCAAGCAGAUGGAAGAGGGGGAGAGGGAAAGAAAAGGUCCUGCAGAAUGAGAUUGAUGGAAUUAUGUAUGUUAUGUGCAUGUAAGAAGGCAGCAUGACCAGUCUCACUAUUAUGUAUAAUUAAAGGCAGCAAUAAAAAAAAAUUUAAAAAUAAACCUGACUUGAGGCAUAUUAAACAGGUAGACAUAAAAAGUAGUUGUUUCACCUCGCAUAGGAGCGCAUACCUAUACUCCCUGAGACUUAGGAGGUUGAAGCAGGAGGAUCACAAGAUCAAGGUCAGCCUAGAAAACUUAGAGACCUUGGGUAACUUCUGAAACAUAAAAUGGACUGGAGGUGUAGCUUAGUGAAAGAGUGUUCCUGGGUUCCCCUGUGUGUGUGUGUGUGUGUGUGUGUGUGUGUGUGCGUGCGCGUGCACAUAUAUAUCUAUUAAUAACCCUGCAUUAUUAAUUACCUUUAUUGGACAACCAGAUGCAAUAUUCCUAGAAGUGUUUAAAGCAAAAAACUAAAUUUUUUUUUUAUUAUGGUGCUGGUGUAACAAUGGUCCACUUUAUGCUUUGACUAUAGCCCUUGCUGCUUGGCCACUGCAACUUAUUUUUUAAAUGGACAUGUUUCUUUCUCUUCCUCUCUUCCUGCCCUCCCUAAUUUCUCCCCUUCUCUAAUCUCAGGGGAAACAGGAUUACUUUUCUUUCCCAUUUUAGGCAGAUUUACCUGUCCUUGAGUACACACACAACAUAGAACCUAAGUAAUCCAGAUUUGGGGGAUGGCACCAGAAGAUCUCAGAAAAGAAAUGACUAUCCCCAAAUUAGCAAGUGAAUGACAACUCCAACAGAGAACACGUGAAUGUAGCCUUCUAGUCACCUCUUUAAAAGCCUCUGUUCUUGCUGAUGGGCAGAAUCACAGCCUCUAGGAUGGGAGUCCUCUGGGUUUCUCCUUUGCUAGCAAAGUAAUAAAACUUAUUUUUCCUUUUUCUCAAAAUCAUGUCCUCAUUAUUAGAUUGGCAUCAGGGACAAGGUAACAAAUUUGGCACCCUAGAUGGGACCCAAGAGCAGCCCCCACUCCAGCUUUCUUGGGCAGACCUGGCUCUCCAAAGAACCCCACUUUCAUGCCUGGCUCUCCAAAGAACCCCACUUUCAUGCUGGGAUGCAAGAUGCUAACGAACUUGUUGAGAGCCAACUGCUAGAGCGUUAGGAGAUGGGUGAGUUUGCUAUGGGUUGAACCAGAGGAGCAGUUCCUGUGAGCAAAGGGAGGGACUGAGGGACCCUCCCAGCAGCUGCCAAAGCUCCUUUGGCUUUGGAGAACUUCUGCUUUCUCUCCCAUUGUGGUCCACUUUGAGAAAAAGGAAACUGAACUCAGUAAAGUCACAACACCCUUGGCCAUCUGGUAAGUCCCCCAUGUGCACGCCAAGACCUUUGAUUUUACACACCUGUUUCCUCUUCAUGGGAACAUCUGGUCCCUGUUUGUGGGGACACCUGUGGCACCACUGGUGUAGGAGUCCUGGUUAAGCAGGAUAUUUACUCCCUUCAGAUCUAUUCUAGGUUCUCAUCUGUUUGUUGGCCUUGGGUUUGGGAACUCCCUCCGGUUGACUGUGUUUUCAUUUUGUUUAUAUCUGUUAUUACCUCCUUUUAAAACAUAGCCAAUACUGCACUGAUCCCAUCUGUCAGCCAUGGUUUGGGGGUCCUCUCUGUGGUGGUCUCUCUGUUUUUCUUUUUUGAACAGUCUUACAACUGGAGUUGGUCUGUCAGAGGUAAAGUGAGUUGAAGAAAGGACCACCUACAGGAUAAGCCUGUCUAAGAUAAUGUUUUACUGUAACCAUCUGGCUUUUGAAUAGCUUUCUGGAUUAUUAUACAAUCUUGCUGUUGGAGUUGGUAAAGUCAAGUAAGUGGAAGACAUUUGUACCUGCAGGUGUGUCUGUUUUAAAGUUUCCCAUCUGUCAGCCCUGGCUUCAGUGAUUCUCUCCUGUUUUUGUUGUUGUUGUUGUUGUUUGUUUGUUUUGUUUUGUUUUGUUGUUUGUUUUGUUUGUUUUUUGGGGUACCGGGGAUUGAACUCAGGGGCCCUUGACCAUUGAGCCACAUCCCCAGCCCUAUUUUGUAUUUUAUUUAGAGACAGGGUCUCACUGAGUUGCUUAGUACCUCGCUUUUUGCUGAGGCUGGCUUUGAACUUGCAAUCCUCCUGCCUUGGCCUCCCAAACCGCUGGGAUUACAGGCAUGUCAUAUAUUAAAGUCAUAAGUGAUUACUUUGUAACUAGUUAAACAAAUAACUGUUACUUAGGUUAUAACAAAAUAUAGUUGAUACCCUAAAUAUAUGUGACUAGGUAUAUGUAUGCAUUUGAAAACUAUAUCUAAGUCUUAUAUAAGUGUUAUAUAAAAGUUUAUAAAAUGAAAGUUUAUGUAAGAUUACUGACAAGAUAACCAAUAAGUACUCUCUUUUGUACAUUGUAUCUGACAUACAAGGGCCACACUGUCACUUGAAGACCUGUGUUGUUUGCUUUGACAAAGUCAAUUUCUGAUCCUUAACACUGUUUCCUGAAUGUAGAAGAGAUUUAAGGUGAUCCUUUGAUUUCUGCUAGUACUCUAACCCAUGCAGACCUGUGAUUAUUGCUACUGUACACUCUGGAUUCUAAAUUGUACUUUUAAAGUUAAACUUAGUUAAAUGUAAAGCUUAGGAGACCACUUUACCAAGCUUGUUCUCCAAACUAAAAUUAUCUGUAGCAAUAGUCUCAGAUUUGUAUAGAAAUAACAAAUUUGGUUGGCAUAUAUUCAUGUCAUUUGAUGUUUUAUAGCUGAAUAAAGUAACCUGUUUUCAGUAAGCUAUAGAUGCAAAUUUGUGGUACUCUCCACACUGCAACUGGAAUUUAAAUGAGUUUUUGAAAGAUAAUAAGGAGAGUCUGAUCUCUUUAAAGGUGACAUUGUGCAACAUGGAAUCAUUCUGCCACUUUUUCCACAAAAAGAAAGUUAAAAGCUCUCUUAGCCUAACUUUGAUUCAUGUUCCAGAUGUAAUGUUGUAUUGUAUUAUUUGUGAAGAGCCUCCACCUUAUCUGAGAUAAGGCUCUGCCUCCCACCUCACUCCAUGUUAGAAUGGCUCCAAAAUAGGCUAGACUUCAGCUCAUUUAAAGUUGUGUUCAAAAG